AACAGGAUUAGAUACCCUGGUAGUCCUCGCUGUAAACGAUGUCGACUUGGAGGUUGUGCCCUUGAGGCGUGGCUUCCGGAGCUAACGCGUUAAGUCGACCGCCUGGGGAGUGCGGCCGCAAGGUUAAAACUCAAAUGAAUUGACGGGGGCCCGCACAAGCGGUGGAGCAUGUGGUUUAAUUCGAUGCAACGCGAAGAACCUUACCUACUCUUGACAUCCAGAGAAUUUGCUAGAGAUAGCUUAGUGCCUUCGGGAACUCUGAGACAGGUGCUGCAUGGCUGUCGUCAGCUCGUGUUGUGAAAUGUUGGGUUAAGUCCCGCAACGAGCGCAACCCUUAUCCUUUGUUGCCAGCGAGUAAUGUCGGGAACUCAAAGGAGACUGCCGGUGAUAAACCGGAGGAAGGUGGGAAUGACGUCAAGUCAUCAUGGCCCUUACGAGUAGGGCUACACACGUGCUACAAUGGCAUAUACAAAGAGAAGCGAACUCGCGAGAGCAAGCGGACCUCAUAAAGUAUGUCGUAGUCCGGAUUGGAGUCUGCAACUCGACUCCAUGAAGUCGGAAUCGCUAGUAAUCGUAGAUCAGAAUGCUACGGUGAAUACGUUCCCGGGCCUUGUACACACCGCCCGUCACACCAUGGGAGUGGGUUGCAAAAGAAGUAGGUAGCUUAACCUUCGGGAGGGCGCUUACCACUUUGUGAUUCAUGACUGGGGUGAAGUCGUAACAAGGUAACC
rnacentral:rRNA from 1 species